rnacentral:rRNA from 1 species
GACGAACGCUGGCGGCGUGCUUAACACAUGCAAGUCGAACGGAAAGGCCCUGCUUUUGUGGGGUGCUCGAGUGGCGAACGGGUGAGUAACACGUGAGUAACCUGCCCUUGACUUUGGGAUAACUUCAGGAAACUGGGGCUAAUACCGGAUAGGAGCUCCUGCUGCAUGGUGGGGGUUGGAAAGUUUCGGCGGUUGGGGAUGGACUCGCGGCUUAUCAGCUUGUUGGUGGGGUAGUGGCUUACCAAGGCUUUGACGGGUAGCCGGCCUGAGAGGGUGACCGGCCACAUUGGGACUGAGAUGCGGCCCAGACUCCUACGGGAGGCAGCAGUGGGGAAUAUUGCACAAUGGGCGGAAGCCUGAUGCAGCAACGCCGCGUGCGGGAUGACGGCCUUCGGGUUGUAAACCGCUUUCGCCUGUGACGAGGCGUGAGUGACGGUAAUGGGUAAAGAAGCACCGGCGAACUACGU